rnacentral:rRNA from 1 species
UACAGAGGGUGCGAGCGUUGUCCGGAAUCAUGUCGUGGGCGUAAAGGGCGCGUAGGUGGUGGCUUAAGCGUGCCGGUGAAAGCUCCGGGGCUCAACUCCGAGUCGGCCGUGCGAACUGGGCUCACUGGAGCAUAGUAGAGGCAGGUGGAAUUCCGGGUGUAGCGGUGGAAUGCGUAGAGAUCCGGAAGAACACCGGUGGCGAAGGCGGGUCUCUGGGCCGAUACUGACGCUGAGGAGCGAAAGCGUGGGAGCGAACAGGAUUAG